ACCCCAGAACUCAGGGCUCCGGGAACAAUGCUGUGGUACCCACGUCUGCAAGGCUGCCGGGGUUUGGCCGACCCGGGGUUGGCUCGGUGGGGCCCCUGUGCUUCAGGUGGUGGCCGCUAGGGCUGUGUUAAUCGUGUUCCUCGGGGCCCACGGACGGGUGAGGUGGCGGGCACCGUCUGCUCGUGGCGAUGGCAGAGGGGCAGUGAAGCAAGUGAAAAUGCGUCCGGCCCCUGGCCGCCUGGCCACAUUCAGUUCCACGGCCAACCCCAAGUCAAGGGGCAGAGAAGCACGCCCCUGUCCCCUCUUUAGUGAGAGGAAUUGCAAACCGCGGGGCAGGCACAGGGGAACAAGGGUCAGAACCCAGGCCAGUCGUACCCCCACCACAGCGCCUUGUCCCUGGAGGCUCAUUUGGUGGAAUCUUCCUCCUGCCUGCUCUCUUUCUUGCAGGCAGUGGGAAAGCCUAGAAAUUGUCCCCCUGCCCCCAAUGCACCGUCCGCAUAGCCACGCUCUCACAUGGCACAGAAGCCAUCCAGCAGGCCACUCACAGUUUCAGAGAAAGUCUGUCCCACAUCACAUGUUUUCCAUUCGAUUCUCAAAAGCUUUGUAAAGGGAUUUUUUUUUCUAGAAAUGAAUGCCUCCCUCCACACUGAGAUCACAGCUUCAGUUGCUAAACUUUCUGAUAGAUUCUGAAACAUCCAGAUCACCCUCCUCACAGUGAGGGUUGCUCAUCGGUGACCCUUCCUCAUCUUGGGUGGCUUUGGUUCUCUUCAAACAGAUGAAGGAUGGGGUCCCCAGGCACCCCUGUAACUCUCGUUAACUCUGGGAAGGGGCCCUGGCUUCACCCUCCCACGAUGUGCCCUUAUCUCCCUUGCCACCAGGUGGCCCCACGGGCAACCUGGGCCCCAUCCUUUUCUCCCUUGGGGGCACUACCCUAGCUGAAAGACCGUUUGAGGAGCCAGCUCAUCUCUUGGUCCCUAAAACUGGUUGAGCAUUAGAAUCAUCUGGGGAAUUGAACCCCAAGUUCAGAUUCUUGGCAGGCCUUGAUGACUUCAGGGCAGAGCUGGUGAGAAAGCUUCUUUGGGAACCACUGGCCAGGAAUCACAGGCCUAGAUUCUAGACUCAUUUCUUGCUCUGACCUCCCUUCCCCAAGUUACCCCCCCAACUCUGGACCUCAGUGUCUUCAUCCAAAAAUGAGACGGUUGAUUUCUAGAUAAGAAUCUUGCCAUGCAAAGUGUGGUCCAUGGGGGAUUGCUAGAAACAGAAUUUGAGACUCCACCCCAGACCUGCUGAAUCCUAAUCUGCAGGUAAUUCCUGAAAGCGUUGAAUUUUGAGAAGCUCUGUUUUAUCAGGUACCUUCUAGGGCGAAGCCAAAGCAGGACCUUCAUACACCCCCAAAAGCUGGAAAGCUAGUUGCUCCCUCUUCUGUCCUCUUGGUGAAUGAUGCUGGCUUGAGGAUGAUGCAGGCAAAACGAAGCUGGCUUCCUUCUCUUCUUGUGUAGGUUUCCUCGGGUUUUUGUUCUACUGUGUUCCUAAACUUUCUUAGGUGGACUCUGGAGCUCCCCCAGAGCUCUCCUCUUUGUGGGUGGCAGUCUAAUCGGUGAUCUUUGUUGGGGGACAGAGAGGCUGGUGUCUCUUACAUCGCCAUUUUCUGUAGGUAGCUUCUAGAAGCCUCGAAUUCAGUCCCUGUGAAACCAUUUCUCUUCUCCUGUGCCUUCCCUGUUAUUCUCCCCCAAUUCGUUUUGUGAAAGCCUGUCUUGAAGAUGGUGCUGGUCCCUGGUCCCGCCAUAGUCCACAUUGCAGCUCACUCAUAUUGCCAGGUUCCAGAUUCUCUCUUGCCAAGGACCAAGAGGCAGGAAAACCGAAGAACCUUCCGAGCCAUGAGAAGUCAAGAAGAGAGCUGUAGUUAAAAUUCUAAGCAAGCCUCAUGCAAGUCUGGGUCACUAGACAUGUCAGGAUCACAAAAUAAAUCGAAUGUUACCAGAGCAGGGAGGAACAGAAAGCAAGUUAGGGAACCAACAGCAGGGAGAAUAGAAGCAUGCAGGAAACCUGCUUCCCGUUACUGCUUGUCAAAAAUACAGGCUGGUGUAUGCCCAGGAAAAGAGGUUAUAAAUUUCCCUUACUCCGUUCCUUUGCUGUUUUGAAGGGGAAUUUGCCGAGGACUUGGAACUGUGCUGAUUGGCAAUUUAUUUGUGAAUUGCUUUCUGAAAUGGCUUCUCUUCUUGGUUCUCUCCAGUUCACUACAAUGAACCAUCAGUUUGGGGGGAAAUUCCCUUUUCCUUCAAGCCACGCGCCCCACCCCACUCCACUCCAUCGUACCUCCUGCAAAGGAUAUGACCAUUUAAACGGCAGGCCCCUAAAGGUAACAAAAAGAAGAUCUACCCUCCUGUGCCCUCCUGGAGGCUGCUGAGUAUCCUCUGCCUCUCAUGGUAGCAUGUUGGCUAUUAUGUAUUCUCGUACGUUACUCUGUCAGGAAGCAUGGGCCCUUUGUGCAUCAAAACCAAAGGAUCAUCUUUUAUUCAUGUUUCAAGGCCUAAUCCAGGAGCCAAGGACCCUGCAGAACUCUGAGACAUUGGAUUGAGGGCACUUCCCAAACUUCUUCAGACCAAGGCGACAUCGUCCUGGUAGAAAACAAGCCAAGUGUCGACUCUGCCCUUGAACCGUUUUAAUCAGCAGUUGGUGGAACAGGUGCUGAGUGGGCUAAGCUCUUGGUGAUGAGGAUCACACGAGCUGGUGCGUGCAGUCCCCAUUCAGCAGAACCCUGACUUCAGCCAUUAUUCAUGCAGAACUGCUCUGUGAAGGGGUCAGCAGAGCUUGGCAUGUUCAAAAAGAUUUUACUACAGUAACAAAGAGGGAAACCAGGGGCCAACAUCUGAGUAACUUCUCCGAAACCACUCAGCAGUUAGCUAUCUCCGUCCAAAGAGGCCAGUGGAGAGACUGAGAUGCGUCUGCCCCAGGCACGGGGGACCCUCACUCGGCCUGUCACCUCCUCACCAACCAAGGACUCCACAGCAGGGACAGAGCACAUUCAAGCCAUGAUCCAGCAGAAGAUUGGAAGUUAAAAGAGAAACUCAUAAAAUGGAUCACUUUUCAGCGCGUCUUGCCUGUGAUGGACAGGGGCGUUUACGGCACCACCUGCAGAGGGCAGUGAAUGAGUUGAGACACCACAGUCGUUGAAGACGAUGGUUAAAAAGUGUCUUGUGCGGUGCUUCUCUACAGAGAGGCAGCAGAAGUUGGGAAAAGAAGGAUUCUCAAGUAGGUAUCCAGGCUCUCUGUGGGAGUCCCCUCUGAACUGCAGCCACACUGCCCUCUACUUGAUGAGUGCUCGGUGGUCAGACACUCAGAUGCAACCACAAAAGGUGCCGUGCAGAGCCCAGCUACCGGUGACUCCACAAUGGCCUCUGCCCUUGGGACCACUGUCUCCUAAAACAGGACUGAAGCCUGGAACAACACUGGACGCAAAAGGCGAACACCAAAACGAGAAUUCCAAAGUCAUUUCACUGCUAAGACACUCCUCCGUGUCUGCCCGCUGAAUCUGAGAGCCGAGCAGCCCGGCGGGUCACCUGCCGGGGGAAAGGCAGAGCACAGGGACGGCUCAUCGGGGUCCACGCCGACCACCCCAUUUCCUUUCGUCGCAGCCAGAAUGCCCUCUUCAGGACGCGUGCCUGCGUCAUGUGAAUCCCUCCACCCUGCCUGAAACUCCUUCAAGAGUUGGCCUCACUCUGACGACAGAGCCUGGCUUCCUGUGGGCCAGCGCCGCAGCCUGGAGGCCGGGUGCACGCACCCAGCAGGCUGAGUUCUGCCUUUUCAGAACGCUCCUCUCAACGCGGCCAUCGUGCAUCCAUUCCUGGGACUCUCCGCUGAGGGUGCGUCUUCCCCUGCUCCUUGAGGGCGGGGACAUUCGGCUUCAUUCACCCCUGCACCUCCAGCGCAGCCGCAGGUCCAGCAUGGAGUAGUAGCUCAGCGAUCUGUUUGUUCAGUAACCGUGAGGGUCCUUCGAGGUUACGUUCUCUCUCUCUCUCUCUCUCUCUCUCUCUCUCUCGCCCACUGGAGCCCUGGGUCUGUCUUUGCCCUUCAGUGACGUUGAAAUAACGGUAGCAGGCGCUGACAGAGUCGAGUCAGUGUGUCAGGCACUGUUGUGAGCACUUUGUGUACAGUUAGCCGUUUACUCGUUGCCUCGGUUUCCUCGUAACGGGCAGGUGACAUAAGGGUUGUAUUAGCUCGGUCCCGAGACCACACCGUCCAGGCUGCUGGCAGUUGGUAGCACUGCUCUUGAAACCCUUGCAGUCUGGCCCCACGGUCCACACCGUGAGCCACUGCUUCGUGCUACUCGGGAGCCGGAACGAAGGGGACAGGGCCGAACAGGGAAGUCCCCAGGGCUCGCUCCCAGGGACCGAGCAAAGCCGUCUCCAUUCUCAGAUCUUGCACCCUGGUGUCCUUAGACAGACAGACCAGGCAGUGCUCUCCCUGUUCAUGCCUUUCUAAAAGGUUAGAUCCUAACCUUGUUAAAAGCACCUCAGAGUGGAACCUGAUUAAAAACCUAAUAAAAUAAAAAACGAGGUCAAGUCCAGAGAGAGAAAACUGUUCACGAAGCAGAGGAAGUUCGACUUAAUUUUGUUGUUAAGCUGGUGAAUUCAUUUGAGGUUUGCACAGUUACCCCCAGAGGUCAGAGGCUGCAAAGGCAAAGGGGUGUGCUCUGAGAACUGCAUGCUUCUGAGAGCCGGCCUAGGGGGUACGACCCUCGGCUGGUCUGCCCAGUGCUUAGCGCCAGGCAAAGCCCUGUGCCUGGUCUACACUCCUCUGU